rnacentral:rRNA from 1 species
AACCUCCGCAAUGUGAGAAAUCGCGACGGGGGGAUCCCAAGUGCCAUUCUUAACGGGAUGGCUUUUCAUUAGUGUAAAGAGCUUUUGGAAUAAGAGCUGGGCACGACCGGUGCCAGCCGCCGCGGUAACACCGGCAGCUCUAGUGGUAACAAUUUUUAUUGGGCCUAAAGCGUCCGUAGCCGGUUUAAUAAGUCUCUGGUGAAAUCCUGUAGCUUAACUGUGGGAAUUGCUGGAGAUACUAUUAGACUUGAGACCGGGAGAGGUUAGAGGUACUCCCAGGGUAGAGGUGAAAUUCUGUAAUCCUGGGAGGACCGCCUGUUGCGAAGGCGUCUAACUGGAACGGUUCUGACGGUGAGGGACGAAAGUUAGGGGCGCGAACCGGAUUAGAUACCCGGGUAGUCCUAACUGUAAACGAUGCGGACUUGGUGUUGGGGUGGCUUUGAGCUGCUCCAGUGCCGAAGGGAAGCUGUUAAGUCCGCCGCCUGGGAAGUACGGUCGCAAGACUGAAACUUAAAGGAAUU